GCCGCGGUAUCUUGACCGUGCGAAGGUAGCAUAAUCAUUUGUCUCCUAAAUAGAGACUGGUAUGAAUGGCAAGACGGAACUAUACUGUCUCCUUUUUUCUCCUCCUAAUUUCACUUUCCCGUGAAGAGGCGGGAAAAAGUUCGUUAGACGAGAAGACCCUGUCGAGCUGCAGCAAAAACUAGGAUUUUACAAGUUUUUCUCUUUUACUAAUUAUACAUACUUAGAAAAGGAAAACGUAAAAAGCCUAUUCUAGCUUUGGUUGGGGCAACCACGGAGAAACAAAAUCCUCCGUUAGCUAACAAGUUCAGUAGCUUAAACUAAAGAGAAUAUUACUCUACUAUCAUUUAUAAUGAGCAAACUGAUCCACUAAGGUGAUCAAAAGAAAAAGUUACCGCAGGGAUAACAGCGUUAUCUUUUCUGAGAGUCCAUAUUGACGAAAAGGUUUGCGACCUCGAUGUUGGAUCGGGACAUCCCGGGGGUGCAGAAGCUUCCAAAGGUUGGUCUGUUCGACCAUUAAAGUCCUACGUGAUCUGAG
rnacentral:rRNA from 1 species